rnacentral:snRNA from 1 species
AAGGGAUUUUUGGAUCCAUAAAA